GACGAACGCUGGCGGCGUGCCUAAUACAUGCAAGUAGAACGCUGAAGGAGGAGCUUGCUCUUCUGGAUGAGUUGCGAACGGGUGAGUAACGCGUAGGUAACCUGCCUGGUAGCGGGGGAUAACUAUUGGAAACGAUAGCUAAUACCGCAUAAUAGUAGAUGUUGCAUGACAUUUGCUUAAAAGGUGCAAUUGCAUCACUACCAGAUGGACCUGCGUUGUAUUAGCUAGUUGGUGAGGUAACGGCUCACCAAGGCAACGAUACAUAGCCGACCUGAGAGGGUGAUCGGCCACACUGGGACUGAGACACGGCCCAGACUCCUACGGGAGGCAGCAGUAGGGAAUCUUCGGCAAUGGACGGAAGUCUGACCGAGCAACGCCGCGUGAGUGAAGAAGGUUUUCGGAUCGUAAAGCUCUGUUGUAAGAGAAGAACGAGUGUGAGAGUGGAAAGUUCACACUG
rnacentral:rRNA from 1 species